UGCUUUGCUGCUACAAUACUGCUAGAUCUUCUUCUUUUGCCUUCACUUGCAUUCCUCAUCCUUCACAUUCCUUCUUAGAUGCCCCUUUCUUUAUGCAUUAACUCAGCUUCAUUCCUCAGUCUAGUACAAGCUCACAAUGCUUUGCCACUUCCAUGCCAUUGACAUGCCUUAUCGGUUUCCUUGAUGCAACCUACAAAAUAAUGAUAAAAAGCAAUCAAACAAUACUAUAAAU
rnacentral:lncRNA from 1 species